GCAUAGCAUGCAGUCGUACGGGGCCGCAAGGUACCCGUGGCGCAAGGGUGAGUAAGGCGAAGGUAACCAACCCCGAGACCGGGCAUAGCUACUCGAAAGGGUAGGUAAUUCCCGGCGGUCUUGCGAAGGGGCAUCUCUUUGCAAGUAAAGGUGAGAUUCCGUCUCGGGACGGGCCUUCGUGGUAUUAGGUAGUUGGCGGGGUAACAGCCCACCAAGCCUACGAUGCCUACCGGGCGUGCGAGCGUGGCCCGGCACACUGGGACUGAGACACUGCCCAGACACCUACGGGUGGCUGCAGUCGAGAAUCUUCGGCAAUGGGCGAAAGCCUGACCGAGCGACGCCGCGUGGAGGAUGAAGGCCUUCGGGUUGUAAACUCCUGUCGAGGGGGAACAAGGUUCCGCGAAGAGCGGAGCUUGAGUGAUCCCUGGAGGAAGCACGGGCUAAGUUCGUGCCAGCAGCCGCGGUAAGACGAACCGUGUGAACGUUAUUCGGAAUCACUGGGCUUAAAGCGCGUGUAGGCGGAUUGGCACGUCGGCUUGCUGAAAGCCCCCGGCUCAACCGGGGAAUGGGCACCGAUACGGCCAGUCUGAAGGGAGGUAGGGGGAGCCGGAACUUCCGGUGGAGCGGUGAAAUGCGUUGAGAUCGGAAGGAACGCCCGUGGCGAAAGCGGGCUCCUGGACCUCACCUGACGCUGAGACGCGAAAGCUAGGGGAGCAAACGGGAUUAGAUACCCCGGUAGUCCUAGCCGUAAACGAUGGGCACUGGGGUAGUGGGCUCGCCGAUGGGCUCUCUGCGAAUGGAAACGUGAGUGCCCGCUUGGGGGAGUAUGGUCGCAGCUGAA
rnacentral:rRNA from 1 species